GUGGGGAGUGUUACUGGCCUUGUAUGAAAGGUUAUUUCAAGUUAAAAUAACUUUAGUUGUAAAACUGCACAGAGAGACCAGGGAGCCAAUAAUUGAUCUUUAUUACACAGAAAUGUGAAGGCCAUAUGCAUUAAAUGGUGUUUUGCAGUGAACAUUAUGCAGAUUCAAACUGAAGACAUCCUCAUCUUAAUGAGAUACAAUAUAAAAAUAAACACUGACCAAGAGUUGCCAGAAGGAACUCAAUUUCCACUCUCCCAAUCAAGCUGAAACUCUCCACAGGAAAACCUGGUUUAAAUUCAUGCCAAACUGUUCAAAUGGAAAGAAAAACUAAGUCCGGUAGACACAUCCACGGACUGGAUUUUAUAGUUUUAGGGAGCCAGACUGAAGCUCUUCUCAGCUUCACAUUUUUUAGCAAUUUGUUUCAUUUAAACUUUUUAUCUUUAGUCACCUAAGUGAUAACCUAAAGUGAAAAAAAGUUAAGUGAGUUGGGGAAUUUUGUGGGGCUAGACAAUUUUAGAGGAGGGAAAGUUACAAUCUUUCAUUUAAUUACUUCUGAUCAGGAAAAUUUGAUAUCAGGUCUGGGUCAUCUGUAUUAGCCCUUUGAUAGACUGUUUCUCUGUAGUGGUCAAGAGGCAAGAUCCAUUCAAGUAUCAGCAUUAAAUGCUUGACAUUAGCACAGUUUGGUGCCUGUCCUCUUUAUAUUCCCAAAUGCUGGACUUAUAUAGGAUGCUUUUAACAUCAAAUUGCCCUUCUGAAUACGAUUUUUCUCAAUAAGCUUCUCUUUGCAUUUACUACUGACUUAAAAAAUGUUUUAAAGAAUG
rnacentral:lncRNA from 1 species